UACGUAGGGGGCGAGCGUUGUCCGGAUUUAUUGGGCGUAAAGCGCGCGUAGGCGGUGCGGUAAGUCCGCGGUGAAAUCUCCCGGCUCAACUGGGAGGGUGCCGUGGAGACUGCCGCGCUGGAGGACGGCAGAGGAAGGUGGAAUUCCCGGUGUAGUGGUGAAAUGCGUAGAGAUCGGGAGGAACACCAGUGGCGAAAGCGGCCUUCUGGGCCGGUCCUGACGCUGAGGCGCGAAAGCGUGGGGAG
rnacentral:rRNA from 1 species